rnacentral:rRNA from 1 species
CUAGCCGCAAACGAUGGAUACUAGGCGUUGUGAGUAUCGACCCUCACAGUGUCGUAGCUAACGCGUUAAGUAUCCCGCCUGGGGAGUACGCGCGCAAGCGUGAAACUCAAAGGAAUUGACGGGGGCCCACACAAGCGGUGGAGUAUGUGGUUUAAUUCGAUGCAACGCGAAGAACCUUACCAGGACUUGACAUGUCGCGAAUCUCAGGGAAACUUGAGAGUGCCUUCGGGAGCGCGAACACAGGUGGUGC